rnacentral:tRNA from 1 species
GCGGAUGUGGUGAAAUUGGUAUACACGGUAGAUUUAGGUUCUGCUGCCGUAAGGCGUGAGAGUUCGAGUCUCUCCAUCCGCACCA